CCAUGAGGGAAAGGUGAAAAGGACUUUGGAAAGAGAGUUAAAAGUGCCUGAAAUUGCUGUAAGGGAAGCGAAUGGAACCAGUCAGCCUCGGCGAGAUUGCUGCGCGCUCAAGUGAGGCCCUGCUCCGGUAGUGCAAACACGGCUGCAGGCGUCGAUCUGGUUGCGCGUGGUCGCUUCUUGCUUUGGGUGUCAGCGUCAGCUCAACUCUGAGGACAACCCCAAGGACAUGGAAGGCCGCCCCCGGGUGGCUGAAGGUGCUUGGCGGAACUCAAGCGUGGACUGCUUGGCGCAACGCGCCUGCGCUGACGACAUGGAUUCGUUCGGCCCGUCUUGAAACACGGACCAAGGAGUCUAGCAUAUGUGCAAGCACAUGGGUGUUAAACCUAAGUGCGCAAUGAAAGUGACUGCUGGGAUCCUUGCACCAGCAACCGACUGAUCAAUUGGGAGAGGUUUGAGUUUGAGCAUAUCUGUUAGGACCCGAAAGAUGGUGAACUAUGCCUGAGAAGGACAAAGUCAGGGGAAACUCUGAU
rnacentral:rRNA from 2 species